rnacentral:rRNA from 2 species
UGGGGAAUUUUGGACAAUGGGCGAAAGCCUGAUCCAGCAAUGCCGCGUGUGUGAAGAAGGCCUUCGGGUUGUAAAGCACUUUUGUCCGGAAAGAAAUGGCUCUGGUUAAUACCUGGGGUCGAUGACGGUACCGGAAGAAUAAGGACCGGCUAACUACGUGCCAGCAGCCGCGGUAAUACGUAGGGUCCAAGCGUUAAUCGGAAUUACUGGGCGUAAAGCGUGCGCAGGCGGUUGUGCAAGACCGAUGUGAAAUCCCCGAGCUUAACUUGGGAAUUGCAUUGGUGACUGCACGGCUAGAGUGUGUCGGAGGGGGGUAGAAUUCCACGUGUAGCAGUGAAAUGCGUAGAGAUGUGGAGGAAUACCGAUGGCGAAGGCAGCCCCCUGGGAUAACACUGACGCUCAUGCACGAAAGCGUGGGGAGCAAACAGG